rnacentral:rRNA from 1 species
UGAUGCGAUCAUACCAGCACUAAAGCACCGGAUCCCAUCAGAACUUUGAAGUUAAGCGUGCUUGGGCGAGAGUAGUACUAGGAUGGGUGACCUCCUGGGAAGUCCUCGUGUUGCAUUCC